rnacentral:rRNA from 1 species
GUUAAUAGCAUAUUCAUUUGACGUUAGCUGCAGAAGAAGCACCGGCUAACUCCGUGCCAGCAGCCGCGGUAAUACGGAGGGUGCGAGCGUUAAUCGGAAUUACUGGGCGUAAAGCGCAUGCAGGUGGUUUGUUAAGUCAGAUGUGAAAGCCCGGGGCUCAACCUCGGAAUUGCAUUUGAAACUGGCAAACUAGAGUACUGUAGAGGGGGUAGGAAUUUCAGGUGUAGCGGUGAAAUGCGUAGAGAUCUGAAGGAAUACCGGUGGCGAAGGCGGCCCCCUGGACCAGAUAACUGACACUCAGAUGCGAAAGCGUGGGGAGCAAACAGGAUUAGAUACCCUGGUAG